rnacentral:rRNA from 1 species
GACGAACGCUGGCGGCGUGCUUAACACAUGCAAGUCGACGGAAAGGCCCUGCUUUUGUGGGGUUCUCGAGUGGCGAACGGGUGAGUAACACGUGAGUUACCUGCCCUUGACUUUGGGAUAACUUCAGGAAACUGGGGCUAAUACCGGAUAGGAGCUCCUGCUGCAUGGUGGGGGUUGGAAAGUUUCGGCGGUUGGGGAUGGACUCGCGGCUUAUCAGCUUGUUGGUGGGGUAGUGGCUUACCAAGGCUUUGACGGGUAGCCGGCCUGAGAGGGUGACCGGCCACAUUGGGACUGAGAUACGGCCCAGACUCCUACGGGAGGCAGCAGUGGGGAAUAUUGCACAAUGGGCGGAAGCCUGAUGCAGCAACGCCGCGUGCGGGAUGACGGCCUUCGGGUUGUAAACCGCUUUCGCCUGUGACGAAGCGUGAGUGACGGUAAUGGGUAAAGAAGCACCGGCUAACUACGUG